rnacentral:tRNA from 1 species
GGGGUUGUCGUCUAAGCGGUCAGGACAUCAGGCUUUCAACUUGAGAAUACGGGUUCGAGCCCCGUUAACCCUU